rnacentral:rRNA from 1 species
CCCUUCCGUAGGGGGACCUGCGGAAGGAUCAUUA